GUUCACGCCAAAGUCGUGCGCGCACCCGUUUGGCAGCUCCACGUCGACAUUCCUUCAAGUAGACUCACAGGAGGCCACGGGCACGAGCGAGUCUGCAGCCGGAAGAACAGGAUGAUGAGGAGGAGAUGGAGCACGCUUAAAACUCUGGACACUUGAUCGGAAGGAUCAGGCUGGAUCCAUGGAAACACGUGUGAGGCUCCCAGACCUUGACUGAUCUAUCCUGCCUUCUAAUACAAGUCUAUAUAAUUUAAUUGUUUUAUAUGUCGUGUGGGUUGUAAAAAGUGUUGACAAAGCGAUUUUGUAAUUUCAGCCUGUCCAAUAAAAGCUACCAAUGAUUGACAAUA